AGCUUGACACUGAACAUUGAGCCUUGAUGUGUAGGAUAGGUGGGAGGCUUUGAAGUGUGGACGCCAGUCUGCAUGGAGCCGACCUUGAAAUACCACCCUUUAAUGUUUGAUGUUCUAACGUUGACCCGUAAUCCGGGUUGCGGACAGUGUCUGGUGGGUAGUUUGACUGGGGCGGUCUCCUCCUAAAGAGUAACGGAGGAGCACGAAGGUUGGCUAAUCCUGGUCGGACAUCAGGAGGUUAGUGCAAUGGCAUAAGCCAGCUUGACUGCGAGCGUGACGGCGCGAGCAGGUGCGAAAGCAGGUCAUAGUGAUCCGGUGGUUCUGAAUGGAAGGGCCAUCGCUCAACGGAUAAAAGGUACUCCGGGGAUAACAGGCUGAUACCGCCCAAGAGUUCAUAUCGACGGCGGUGUUUGGCACCUCGAUGUCGGCUCAUCACAUCCUGGGGCUGAAGUAGGUCCCAAGGGUAUGGCUGUUCGCCAUUUAAAGUGGUACGCGAGCUGGGUUUAGAACGUCGUGAGACAGUUCGGUCCCUAUCUGCCGUGGGCGCUGGAGAACUGAGGGGGGCUGCUCCUAGUACGAGAGGACCGGAGUGGACGCAUCACUGGUGUUCGGGUUGUCAUGCCAAUGGCACUGCCCGGUAGCUAAAUGCGGAAGAGAUAAGUGCUGAAAGCAUCUAAGCACGAAACUUGCCCCGAGAUGAGUUCUCCCUGACUCCUUGAGAGUCCUGAAGGAACGUUGAAGACGACGACGUUGAUAGGCCGGGUGUGUAAGCGCAGCGAUGCGUUGAGCUAACCGGUACUAAUGAACCGUGAGGCUUAACCUUACAACGCCGAAGGUGUUU
rnacentral:rRNA from 1 species